UACGGAGGGUGCAAGCGUUAUCCGGAUUCACUGGGUUUAAAGGGUGCGUAGGUGGGUUGAUAAGUCAGUGGUGAAAUCCCCGAGCUUAACUUGGGAACUGCCACUGAUACUAUUGAUCUUGAAUACCGUGGAGGUCAGCGGAAUAUGUCAUGUAGCGGUGAAAUGCUUAGAUAUGACAUAGAACACCAAUUGCGAAGGCAGCUGGCUACGCGAAUAUUGACACUGAUGCACGAAAGCGUGGGGAUCAAACAGG
rnacentral:rRNA from 1 species